AAAUUGAAGAGUUUGAUCAUGGCUCAGAUUGAACGCUGGCGGCAGGCCUAACACAUGCAAGUCGAACGGUAACAGGAAACAGCUUGCUGUUUCGCUGACGAGUGGCGGACGGGUGAGUAAUGUCUGGGAAACUGCCUGAUGGAGGGGGAUAACUACUGGAAACGGUAGCUAAUACCGCAUAACGUCGCAAGACCAAAGAGGGGGACCUUCGGGCCUCUUGCCAUCGGAUGUGCCCAGAUGGGAUUAGCUAGUAGGUGGGGUAACGGCUCACCUAGGCGACGAUCCCUAGCUGGUCUGAGAGGAUGACCAGCCACACUGGAACUGAGACACGGUCCAGACUCCUACGGGAGGCAGCAGUGGGGAAUAUUGCACAAUGGGCGCAAGCCUGAUGCAGCCAUGCCGCGUGUAUGAAGAAGGCCUUCGGGUUGUAAAGUACUUUCAGCGGGGAGGAAGGGAGUAAAGUUAAUACCUUUGCUCAUUGACGUUA
rnacentral:rRNA from 1 species